GACGAACGCUGGCGGCGCGCCUAACACAUGCAAGUCGAACGAGCGAGAGGGAGCUUGCUUUCUCGAGCGAGUGGCGAACGGGUGAGUAACGCGUGAGGAACCUGCCUCAAAGAGGGGGACAACAGUUGGAAACGACUGCUAAUACCGCAUAAGCCCACGGUGCCGCAUGGCACAGAGGGAAAAGGAGCAAUCCGCUUUGAGAUGGCCUCGCGUCCGAUUAGCUAGUUGGUGAGGUAAUGGCCCACCAAGGCGACGAUCGGUAGCCGGACUGAGAGGUUGAACGGCCACAUUGGGACUGAGACACGGCCCAGACUCCUACGGGAGGCAGCAGUGGGGAAUAUUGCACAAUGGGGGAAACCCUGAUGCAGCGACGCCGCGUGGAGGAAGAAGGUCUUCGGAUUGUAAACUCCUGUUGUUGGGGAAGAUAAUGACGGUACCCAACAAGAAGUGACGGCUAACUACGUG
rnacentral:rRNA from 1 species